rnacentral:rRNA from 1 species
AGCCUACGACGCAUGCCGCGUGGAGGAUGAAGAUCUUCGGGUCGUAAACUCCUUUCGAUCGAGACGAACGGCCUCCAGGUGAACAAUCUGGAGGAGUGACGGUACCGAGAGGAAGAAGCCCCGGCUAACUCCGUGCCAGCAGCCGCGGUAAUACGGGGGGGGCAAGCGUUGUUCGGAAUUACUGGGCGUAAAGGGCUCGUAGGCGGCCGACUAAGUCAGACGUGAAAUCCCUCGGCUUAACCGGGGAAUGGCGUCUGAUACUGGAUGGCUUGAGGUUGGGAGAGGGAUGUGGAAUUCCAGGUGUAGCGGUGAAACUGCGUAGAUAUCUGGAGGAACACCGGUGGCGAAGGCGGCAUCCUGGACCAAAUCUGACGCUGAGGGAGCGAAAGCCAGGGNGAGCAAACGGGAUUAUGAUACCCUGGUAGUCCACGCCGUAAACGAUGAGAACUAGACGUCGCGAGGGGUCUGCUCUUCGGUGUCAGCAGCUAACGCGAUAAGUUCUCCGCCUGGGGAGUACGGCCGCAAGGUUGAAACUCAAAGGAAUUGACGGGGGCCCGCACAAGCGGUGGAGCAUGUGGUUUAAUUCGAUGCAACGCGAAGAACCUUACCUGGUCUUGACAUCCUCGGAACUUGCAGAGACUGUGAGGGGUGCCUU